UGCAGCAACGCCGCGUGAGGGAUGACGGCCUUCGGGUUGUAAACCUCUUUUAGCAGGGAAGAAGCGAAAGUGACGGUACCUGCAGAAAAAGCGCCGGCUAACUACGUGCCAGCAGCCGCGGUAAUACGUAGGGCGCAAGCGUUAUCCGGAAUUAUUGGGCGUAAAGAGCUCGUAGGCGGUUUGUCGCGUCUGCUGUGAAAUCCCGAGGCUCAACCUCGGGCCUGCAGUGGGUACGGGCAGACUAGAGUGCGGUAGGGGAGAUUGGAAUUCCUGGUGUAGCGGUGGAAUGCGCAGAUAUCAGGAGGAACACCGAUGGCGAAGGCAGAUCUCUGGGCCGUAACUGACGCUGAGGAGCGAAAGGGUGGGGAGCAAACAGGCUUAGAUACCCUGGUAGUCCACCCCGUAAACGUUGGGAACUAGUUGUGGGGACCAUUCCACGGUUUCCGUGACGCAGCUAACGCAUUAAGUUCCCCGCCUGGGGAGUACGGCCGCAAGGCUAAAACUCAAAGGAAUUGACGGGGACCCGCACAAGCGGCGGAGCAUGCGGAUUAAUUCGAUGCAACGCGAAGAACCUUACCAAGGCUUGACAUAUACGAGAACGGGCCAGAAAUGGUCAACUCUUUGGA
rnacentral:rRNA from 1 species